rnacentral:rRNA from 1 species
GUAGGUGACAAGCGUUGUCCGGAAUUAUUGGGCGUAAAGCGCGCACAGACGAUUCUUUAAAUCUGAUGUAAAAGCCCACGGCUCAACCGUGGAGGGUCAUUGGAAACUGGAGAACUUGAAUACAAAAGAAGAAAGCGGAAUUCCACAUGUAGCGAUGAAAUACGUAGAGAUGUAGAAAAACACCAGUGGCGAAGACGACUUUCUGGUCUGUAACUGACGCUGAGGCGCGAAAACGUGGGGAACAAACAGGGAUUAGAUACCCUGAUAAUACACACCAUAAACAAUAAAUACUAAGUGUUAGAGAAUUUCCGCCCCCCUUAAUACCUGCAGCUAACGCAUUAAGCACUCCACCUGGUAAUACAGCCGCAAGGCUG